rnacentral:lncRNA from 1 species
AAUAUCUGUAUCUAACAAAUAAUCAAAAAUGUCAUGAAUUAUUAUUAGAGCUUCAUAGCGACUAAAUGAUCAAACAUUGUGAUAUACACACCUUCAAUAAGCGAACAAACAUGGCCAUAUUAGCACUGACCCUCGAUGGAUUCCCCACAACAACUUCUAGUGCAUUCGCCUUGGCAAACUUCCAUGCCACCAUCUCUGCCAAUGUCUUCAAAGGAGGGCACUAAACCUAUCAAAGGAAAUAUAGAACCUGAUAUUAAUGUGGAGUCAGGCCGAAACAUGUUGAAUCUUAACAAUUAUGCAACAAUUUCAAAUGGUGCCCUUAUGUGUGCCUUUCUGUCCAUUGAUCCAAGAACAAGGCUUGCCUAUCAUUGAAAUUACAUAAAUAAUUUAACAUAUUCAUAAACAGUUCACCGGACUAAGGACCUUCAUAGAUUAUAAGAAUAGACUAACGCUGGAACAUAUCAUGGACCCUUGGAAUACAUUUUUUAAAUGUUUAAAUGGACUACUAUUGACACAAGUAGAUUUAGUCCAUUAAAAUUGAAGUCGGUGAAUUUAAAAUAAAGAACAUCACAUAAGAUUGGAUCUCAUUAGUGCAAGUUUGGUCAGCAAAACUCACGACAACUUUUUCAGUAAGGAUAGGAAGCAUGGUGCCAUUCCAUGAAUCAGCAGAGGAUGUGAACCGGGGAGAAUGGUGGUAGUAGCAGUGGGGCGGCAAAGCCAUCUCGAACACUUGGAUCAUGAGGAAGACCAACCUGCUUAAUUUAACUUGCCUGCAACUGAAGCGAUAAUUGUGUGUAUUAUAAUCGACACUGUAGAUGGGACAUACCCAUCAAAUUCAUCAGAAAUAAUAGAGCACACAUUAGUAACACAGGGAAAAAAAUCCUUGUGGGUGUGUAAGACGGUCCUACAAAUAAAUUCACAAAUACAACGAGAUUCCACAAUAAAAAACUGACAUGAAUGAUUUUUAUCAAGCAGUAUUUUGGAAAUUUAAGGAUCCCCACAACAUAUACAUGAGAUUAAGACAAUGAGAAAACAUACAGUCUGCAUUCAUAAACUAAUUAGAGCUAUAAGUAUUCAUCUAGGUAGAAAAGCAAACAUCAAACCAUAAGCUCUGUAUGCCGGCACCACUUGCCAGAUUUCCACCGGCGACCUCCUCCAGCUAGUUGCUCCUCCCACGGUUCCACCGCCUCCUUCCAUCCGUCGCCACCAGCCGGUGCCCCUCCGUUCGUUGCGCCAUCAGCCGUCCCUUGCCACUAGUCGCCCCUUCCUUGGGAGAAGAGAAUGUGGGGGUGUGGCAGUUCCUGCAAUCAUGCUACAGGGAGAAAAUGGGGUGGAGGGAGGGUAGAGAGAUAGCAUUACCUGGGUCGUUGCUCGCCCCUAACAUUGGUGUGCCGCUCCUAAUCUCACCCCUCCUGUGUGGUGCUCUUGACUCGAAGAAGAAGAGAUAUGGGAUGCGAAUGAGCUCCUCCUAAACUCGAUGAAAAAUAUAUGACAUGCGAACGAGCAGAUUCACCACUCCAAUCUAGGUUGGCUGCAGCUUGUUUCCGCUCGUGGGAGGGAGGUGGUCGGCGGCGGCGAUUUAGAGAGACGAGGGAUCGAGCGAGGGAUUUGGGGAAGGGGAGUGGGAGGUGGGACGUGCGUACGUGGGUUCUUUAUUUUCUUUUUAN